GGAUGUGAGGGCGAUUUGGCUGCAACAUCUGUCACCCCAUUGAUCGCCAGGGUUGAUUCGGCUGAUCUGGCUGGCUAGGUGGGCGAUCUGGCUGGCUAGGCAGUUGUCCCCCUCCUCCCUCACCGAUCCAUGUGCAUCCCUCCCGAAGCUGUGCGCUCGGUCAAAGAGGACGACCUCCCCCGCCCACCAGGAGAGGAUUGGCCUUCGGUCAAGGGUAUAGGAGUAGCUGCGCUCCCCUACUAGAACCUCCAAACAAGCUCUCGACAUUUUCUUUCUGAAAAUUUAAAGUAAAUUAGUAAACACAAUUUACCCAGAAAAGUUAUUCUGUGUAGUU
rnacentral:snRNA from 1 species